AAAACGGCCCUUUUCAGGGCCAUUAAAUAUUAUUUUUGAUUACAUG
rnacentral:ncRNA from 1 species